AGCCGCAUAGCUCAGUGGUAGAGCGCCGUCUUGAUAAGGCGGAGGUCGAUGGAUCGUUCCCAUCUGCGGCGA
rnacentral:tRNA from 1 species